GACGAACGCUGGUGGCGUGCUUAACACAUGCCAGUCGAACGGUAAGGCCCCAGCUCUCUGGGGUACACGAGUGUCGAACGUGUGAGUAACACGUGGGUUACCUUCUCCGCACUUUGGGAUAAGCCUUGGAAACUGGGUCUAAUACCGGAUAGGACCGCACCGUGAGGGUGGGGCGGAAAGUCUUUCGGUGUGGGAUGGGCCCGCGGCCUCUCAGCUUGUUGGUGGGGUAAUGGCCUACCAAGGCGGCGACGGGUAGCCGGCCUGAGAGGGUGGGCGGCCACCUUGGGACUGAGACACGGCCCAGACUCCUACGGGAGGCAGCAGUGGGGAAUAUUGCACAAUGGGCGGAAGCCUGAUGCAGCGACGCCGCGUGGGGGAUGACGGCCUUCGGGUUGUAAACGCCUUUCACCGUCGACGAAGGUUUUCUGACGGUAGAUGGAGAAGAAGCACCGGCUAACUACGUG
rnacentral:rRNA from 1 species